CUACGGGUUGCUGCAGUGGGGAAUAUUGCACAAUGGAGGAAACUCUGAUGCAGCAACGCCGCGUGGAGGAUGACGCAUUUCGGUGUGUAAACUCCUUUUAUAUAGGAAGAUAAUGACGGUACUAUAUGAAUAAGCACCGGCUAACUCCGUGCCAGCAGCCGCGGUAAUACGGAGGGUGCAAGCGUUACUCGGAAUCACUGGGCGUAAAGCGCGCGCAGGCGGGUUUGUAAGUUGGAUGUGAAAGCCUACGGCUCAACCGUAGAACUGCAUCCAAAACUGCUUACCUAGAGUCUGGGAGGGGAAGAUGGAAUUAGUGGUGUAGGGGUAAAAUCCGUAGAGAUCACUAGGAAUACCAAAAGCGAAGGCGAUCUUCUGGAACAGUACUGACGCUGAGGCGCGAAAGCGUGGGGAGCAAACAGGAUUAGAUACCCUCGUAGUC
rnacentral:rRNA from 1 species